UCUCCGUUUCCCCUCAUCACCUGUUCUUUUAACUGUUUAAAAACAGCAUUACAUGUUGUUGCAAGUGGCCUCAAAUUCUUUUUGGUAGAAGGGAAAUUGUAAUCCAUGAGAAGAAAAAAAUUUUCCUAACUAUUCUCAGGUGUGUUUAAGGGCUGCAUUCCAUGAUGCUAUCAGUGCCUUCUUUCAGCUCACAGGAUAUCGGCCAUGUUAAUGAGUCUGAUGUUGCUAGUAUCACAGGCACCGGAAAAUAUGCACAUUAUGCUGGAGCAUUAGAAUGCAACAGAAAGAGCCCUGGGCUUGGAGUAUGCAGAACUGGUUCUUGUUACAACUCCUCUUACUAGUGGGCUCUGGAAGAAAACACAUUGAAUUCAUGAUCAUGGUUAACCUUUGGAGAGAGAGAGGAGACCAGGAUGAAGGAGCCAGUCGAAGGAAAUGAAUGUGUAGAGGAAGAAGUCAGGUGAUGCUGGUGUCCUGGGGACCACUCCACGGAAGGAGAAGACACUGGGAAUAGAAGACCUUUGAAAAUCGUGAUGGGCUUAAAGAUCCCAGCGCAGGUCCCACCACUUAUUCGCUCUCACCUGGCAUCUCAAUCUCUG
rnacentral:lncRNA from 1 species